UAACUUAAAUGCCUUUUAUUAUCAGGAAAAGGAAGUACUAGUGAAGGAGGAAGAGGAAAAGCAGAAGCAAAAGUCUUCCAGGACUUUCAAAUAUUAAGCAGAAUUUGGACUCAUCCAUGGUGCUUACAGCUGGACUAUAUUAGCAAAGAAAACAAGGGGUAUUUUGAUGAAGACAGGAUGAAUGAAUUCAUACCAUCAGAUUCUGAUGAAACCUCAAUGAGUUUAAGUUCAGAUGAUUAUCCUAAGGAAAAAAAGUUCAAAGGGAAAAAAAGAACUAGUUCAGGUGGACAUGAUAAUGUAGAAGUAAUUAAAGUAUGGAAUUCAAAUCUGGAGGUGGUGGUGAAGGGCAGAAGGAUGAGCUGGCCAGCAUUUCAUCUAUGACCGUAAAAAAAGAAAAAAAGAAGAAGAACAUACUUUUCAAAUCCAGGCGGCACUUCUCCAGACUGGUACAAAGAUUUUAUCACGGAUUCUGAUGCUAAAGUGUUGGAACAUUCUGGAAAAAUGGUACUUCUUUUUGAAAUUCUUAAAAUGGCCGAGGAACUUGGGGAUAAAGUGCUGGUAUUUAGCCAACCUCUCAUAUCUCUGGACUUGAUUGAAGAUUUUCUUGAAUUGGGCAGUAAGGAAAUAUCAGAUGAUAAAGACAAGCCUUGAAUUUAUAAAGGGGCUGGCUGUUCAUUAUUUCCAGCAAAGUGGGUUCAGUUGGCAUUAAUCUGGUAGCUGCUAAUCGAGUAAUUGUCUUUGAUGCCUCUUGGAAUCCAUCCUAUGAUAUUCAGAGUAUAUUCAGGGUUUAUCUCUUUGGUCAAAAUAAACCAGUCUUUGUAUACACGUUUUUAGCUCAGGUAGUUUUCAACUUUUCAUAUAAUAAAUUGGAAGUACAAGCAAAAGUUUGAAACUGGAGAGCAAUUAUAGGGAACUAUGGAAGAUAAGAUCUAUAAACCUCAAAUAACCAAGCAAUCACUCUCUUUUCGAGUUAUUGAUCAACAGCCAGUUGAACGCCAUUUUACUUUGAAUGAACUGACUGAACUUUAUACAUUUGAGCCAGACUUACUAGAUGAUCCUAAUUCAGAAAAGAAGAAAAAGGACACUUGUAGGGCUGUAUCCCAGAGAGAUCAAGCAAAUGGGAAAAGGAGCCACAUGU